rnacentral:rRNA from 1 species
GAUGAACGCUGGCGGCGUGCCUAAUACAUGCAAGUCGAGCGAACGGACGAGGAGCUUGCUUCUCUGAUGUUAGCGGCGGACGGGUGAGUAACACGUGGAUAACCUACCUAUAAGACUGGGAUAACUUCGGGAAACCGGAGCUAAUACCGGAUAAUAUUUUGAACCGCAUGGUUCAAAAGUGAAAGACGGUCUUGCUGUCACUUAUAGAUGGAUCCGCGCUGCAUUAGCUAGUUGGUAAGGUAACGGCUUACCAAGGCAACGAUGCAUAGCCGACCUGAGAGGGUGAUCGGCCACACUGGAACUGAGACACGGUCCAGACUCCUACGGGAGGCAGCAGUAGGGAAUCUUCCGCAAUGGGCGAAAGCCUGACGGAGCAACGCCGCGUGAGUGAUGAAGGUCUUCGGAUCGCAAAACUCUGUUAUUAGGGAAGAACAUAUGUGUAAGUAACUGUGCACAUCUUGACGGUACCUAAUCAGAAAGCCACGGCUAACUACGUGGCAGCAGCCGCGGUAAUACGUAGGUGGCAAGCGUUAUCCGGAAUUAUUGGGCGUAAAGCGCGCGUAGGCGGUUUUUUAAGUCUGAUGUGAAAGCCCACGGCUCAACCGUGGAGGGUCAUUGGAAACUGGAAAACUUGAGUGCAGAAGAGGAAAGUGGAAUUCCAUGUGUAGCGGUGAAAUGCGCAGAGAUAUGGAGGAACACCAGUGGCGAAGGCGACUUUCUGGUCUGUAACUGACGCUGAUGUGCGAAAGCGUGGGGACCAAACAGGAUUAGAUACCCUGGUAGUCCACGCCGUAAACGAUGAGUGCUAAGUGUUAGGGGGUUUCCGCCCCUUAGUGCUGCAGCUAACGCAUUAAGCACUCCGCCUGGGGAGUACGACCGCAAGGUUGAAACUCAAAGGAAUUGACGGGGACCCGCACAAGCGGUGGAGCAUGUGGUUUAAUUCGAAGCAACGCGAAGAACCUUACCAAAUCUUGACAUCCUUUGACAACUCUAGAGAUAGAGCCUUCCCCUUCGGGGGACAAAGUGACAGGUGGCGCAUGGUUGUCGUCAGCUCGUGUCGUGAGAUGUUGGGUUAAGUCCCGCAACGAGCGCAACCCUUAAGCUUAGUUGCCAUCAUUAAGUUGGGCACUCUAAGUUGACUGCCGGUGACAAACCGGAGGAAGGUGGGGAUGACGUCAAAUCGUCAUGCCCCUUAUGAUUUGGGCUACACACGUGCUACAAUGGACAAUACAAAGGGCAGCGAAACCGCGAGGUCAAGCAAAUCCCAUAAAGUUGUUCUCAGUUCGGAUUGUAGUCUGCAACUCGACUACAUGAAGCUGGAAUCGCUAGUAAUCGUAGAUCAGCAUGCUACGGUGAAUACGUUCCCGGGUCU